rnacentral:lncRNA from 1 species
AAAAAUGUCGGGAAAGCAAGAGAAGGGGGGUUAAGAGGCGGUAUUGACAGCUGUGGAGGCAGCCCGCGUUCCCGGCAUUCCCUGGGGCGGCGGGGUUGGCUCUAACGAAUUUGAAUGAGGAGCCUCAGCGCUUUCGGCGCCAUUUUCGAGUGAUGCCUGAUCUCAUCAAUCUAGCGGGAGAGACAGGAUAACCUGUCCGAGAGUAUAGCGCCACUAUGACUCCGCCGGAAAAAUUACUUUAAAAAUCGCCAAAAAUUACUUGGAGCAAAGGGCAGUCGGCGGAGCUUCGCCAAGGCUGGCGCAGUCGGUUUUGACCUGUAGCAGAGAACCAAUUCUGGAGAACAGCCUCACUUCUUUGAUUGAAUACUUACAUAAUGCAUUGGAACAUGACAUGAGAUUAAGGUUUAAUAAUGAUAGAAUGAAGACCACAAUAAAAGAGACCUCUACUUAGCUCAGCAAUUCUUACCUUUCUUACCUAUUUGAUGAAGAUGUCUUUUGAAAGGUGUACUGCAAGGAACAAAAUGUUUGUAAAUUCUCCUUUUACCAAGGUUUCUUUUUUAAUUGAUGCCAAAGAGUUCCAAUAUUGAACAUCUUAAGUCUGUUACUUGGAUUACGGAUUGAGUUUGGAGCUUACUCAGAGGACUACAGGAGAGUAUCCAGGAAGUAGCAAGAAAUGUGGAUAAUUACUGUACCUUCCUCAUGGAAAAAGUUUUAUUUAAAGUGUUAUUUCUCAUUGAAUACUAUCAAAAAGGAAAAAAAAAUGACCUAAACUUUUGAGAUAGAUUUGGCUCUAGGCCUACUCUAGGUGCGGUACUUCACUAUAGUUUAUAAAAGAUGGUCCCUGUCAGCAAAGAACUGUAACCUGUAUGAGAAUAUUAUACUAACAUACAAGAAACAAGUAGAGAAUAAUGGAAUGUAAACUCUGGCUUGCUAACUUAAGUGUGGUAGAAGCUUGAAGGAAAUGUGGACUUAAACUUAUCAGAGAAGACUUAUAAGAGGAUAUGAAAGGUGUAAAUUUUGAUACCACCAUUGCCGCCUUCCCCUCAAAAAAGGUGAGAACUGACUAAACUACUGGUACUUAGACCAUGUGGAGAAGGAACUGAAAAUGGAAACAGAAACACGUCUGUACAGAGCAGAGUGUCAGAUAAUAGCUCAUUUUAGUAGAGGGCAAUAAAUGCCACAUGAGAUGAUCACCUCAGCAGAAAACUGUAAGUAACUGGGGACUUACAGGAGAAUUGAACAGUUGUUUCUGCUGACUCAGUAAAAAGUCUUCAUUUUAUAAUUUGUGGCCUGCAUGCUUGUAAAUUAAAAUGCAUUGAGUUGUCAAGUAAUGGACUUGUCUGGUUUGUAGGUAGGAAUUUAAGCCAAAAUUGAAUGCAACAUUCCCCCAGAAGUAACCUGGGAUCUGUGCCAUAAAACCUAAGGCAAAGGUUACAUGAAUUUGUAUUACUAGGUUAGAACUAGGCUAUUGAGCCUUUGCCUAGAAAACCAAUUAGAGGAUUUUGGUCUUGAUAUAGCAGGGAAUAGGGAGGCAUUAUAGCCUAUUGAUUUGUUUGGAAUUAAAUGUGGCAAUACUAUAUAUAGAAAUGUCUAAGAAAUAAAAUAUGGUAGCAAGGAAACUGGGCAUGUGACUACUGUAGUAAUCUAGGGGUGAAGAAACCUGAACAGCAAUAGUGGCAGGAGAAUGGAGGUGAAAGAAUAAAUUUAAGAUAUUUCAAAGGAAAAAGUUGUUGAAUAUCAUGAUGGGUUGGAUAAAAG